GCCUGGGUGGCUCAGAGGUUGGGCGUCUGUCUUUGGCUCAGGACAUGAUCCCAGUAUUCCGGGAUCAAGUCCCGCAUCAGGCU
rnacentral:tRNA from 1 species